CAUAUCAAUCCGCCGACGAAGAUUCUCAUCAAGCUUUUUUUGCAUCUAGCAUUACCUGUUCUGAUAAGAAACAAUCGUAACAACUUUCAACAAUGGAUCUCUUGGCUCUGGCAUCGAUGCAAGAACGCAGCGAAAUGCGAUAAGUAGUGUGAAUUGCAGAAUUCAGUGAAUCAUCGAAUCUUUGAACGCACAUUGCGCCCCUUGGUAUUCCAUGGGGCAUGCCUGUUCGAGCGUCAUCUACACCCUCAAGCUCUGCUUGGUGUUGGGCGUCUGUCCCGCCUCUGCGCGCGGACUCGCCCCAAAGGCAUUGGCAGCGGUCCACGGCCCCUCUCGCGCAGCACAUUGCGCUUCUCGAGGCGGCCCGGCCCGCAUCCACGAAGCCCACAUUACCGUCUUUGACCUCGGAUCAGGUAGGGAUACCCGCUGAACUUAAGCAUAUCAUAGCCCGGAGA
rnacentral:rRNA from 1 species